AAAGUCUCACACCCUUUGUUUUUGUUAACAUUUGGAAUGUGGAUGUGGAUGUUUUGUGCUUACGGACAAUCAUCUCAAAAUGAUAGUAUGUGCGCCGACAAAUCAAGAAGUUGAUCGGUACCAAAGUGCAACAGAUUUGCGUCUAUUACUCUUUGGCCAAUUGCUUUGCGAUUGAAUGGUGCAUGUUCCCAACCUAUUAUACAAUGGUCAUGUUGUUUUGACAUGGCUGUUGAUA
rnacentral:misc_RNA from 1 species